ACGGGGUAGGAUCACGUAGGUGACGUACCCUCAGGGCGAGGAUAGCCACGGGAAACUGUGGGUAAUACUCGAUAACCUUCUCGAAUGUGAUGGUUUGAGAAGCAAUGGGUGUGAUUCCACCUGAGGAGCGGCUUACGCAGUAUCAGCUAGUUGGUGAGGUAACGGCUCACCAAGGCUUUGACGCUUAGGGGGUGUGAGAGCAUGGCCCCCACCACUGACACUGAGACACUGGCCAGACACCUACGGGUGGCUGCAGUCGAGAAUCUUCGGCAAUGGACGAAAGUCUGACCGAGCGACGCCGCGUGCGGGAUGAAGGUCUUCGGAUUGUAAACCGCUGUCAGAGGGGAUGAAGUAUACGAGAGCUAUCUCUUGUAUUUGACAGAGCCUCAGAGGAAGCACGGGCUAAGUUCGUGCCAGCAGCCGCGGUAAUACGAACUGUGCGAACGUUAUUCGGAAUCACUGGGCUUAAAGGGUGCGUAGGCGGUUUUCUAAGUCACGUGUGAAAUCUUCCGGCUCAACCGGAAAACUGCGCGUGAUACUGGAUAGCUUGAGUGAGGUAGGGGUGUGUGGAACUUCCGGUGGAGCGGUG
rnacentral:rRNA from 1 species